rnacentral:rRNA from 1 species
ACAUGCAAGUCGAGGGGUAGAAGUCUUCGGACUUUGAGACCGGCGCACGGGUGCGUAACGCGUAUGCAAUCUGCCUUUUACAGAGGGAUAGCCCAGAGAAAUUUGGAUUAAUACCUCAUAGUAUUAUGAAAUGGCAUCAUUUUAUAAUUAAAGUCACAACGGUAAAAGAUGAGCAUGCGUCCCAUUAGCUUGUUGGUAAGGUAACGGCUUACCAAGGCUACGAUGGGUAGGGGUCCUGAGAGGGAGACCCCCCACACUGGUACUGAGACACGGACCAGACUCCUACGGGAGGCAGCAGUGAGGAAUAUUGGACAAUGGGCGCAAGCCUGAUCCAGCCAUGCCGCGUGCAGGAUGACGGUCCUAUGGAUUGUAAACUGCUUUUAUACGAGAAGAAACACUCCUACGUGUAGGAGCUUGACGGUAUCGUAAGAAUAAGGAUCGGCUAACUCCGUGCCAGCAGCCGCGGUAAUACGGAGGAUCCAAGCGUUAUCCGGAAUCAUUGGGUUUAAAGGGUCCGUAGGCGGCUUAGUAAGUCAGUGGUGAAAGCCCAUUGCUCAACGGUGGAACGGCCAUUGAUACUGCUGAACUUGAAUUAUUAGGAAGUAACUAGAAUAUGUAGUGUAGCGGUGAAAUGCUUAGAGAUUACAUGGAAUACCUAUUGCGAAGGCAGGUUACUACUAAUGGAUUGACGCUGAUGGACGAAAGCGUGGGUA